rnacentral:rRNA from 1 species
AUGGCCUCCCUCGCGCUGUUAACCUCUUGGGUCAUCUGGAAUGAAUGCAAUGCACGUGUCUUCCGUCACAAGUCCGCCCCCGCAUCCAUCCUGCUCACUCUUAUAAAAAGGGAUGCGGCCCUAUGGGUCACUGCGGGAGCAAAAAAGUUGUGAGCAAUCAUGUUGGGAGAGUAUGUGUUUUUAAACGUAUGCUCCGUGUUAUGCAUCGAUGCUAGAAAAAUAGUCAGAAAUAACACGAAAACCGCCUAA